rnacentral:rRNA from 1 species
AUUGAACGCUGGCGGCAGGCCUAACACAUGCAAGUCGAACGAGUGGCGGACGGGUGAGUCAUGUCUGGGAAACUGCCCGAUGGAGGGGGAUAACUACUGGAAACGGUAGCUAAUACCGCAUACCAUCAGAUGUUCCCAGAUGGGAUUAGCUUGUUGGUGGGGUAACGGCUCACCAAGGCGACGAUCCCUAGCUGGUCUGAGAGGAUGACCGGCCAAACUGGAACUGAGACACGGUCCAGACUCCUACGGGAGGCAGCAGUGGGGAAUAUUGCACAAUGGGCGCAAGCCUGAUGCAGCAAUGCCGCGUGUAUGAAGAAGGCCUUCGGGUUGUAAAGUACUUUCAGCGGGGAGGCGUUACCCGAAGAAGAAGCAACGGCUAACUCCGUGCCAGCAGCCGCGGUAAUAC